GAUGAAUGCUGGCGGUGUGCCUAACACAUGCAAGUCGAACGAAAGGAUAAGGAGCGUGCUCUCUUACGGUUAGCGAGGGGCGGGCGAGUAAGACGUGGGUAACCAUCUUCUUUGACUGGGGUAAUUUCGGGAGACAGGAUCCAAUAACGGCUCAUACUUCGUACGGCUGGGUUCAAUAGAUAUUGAUGGUUUGGCCGUUUUUAAUAGACGGACUCGGGUCGGAUUAGCUAGUUGGUAAGGUAACGGCUAACCAAGGCGACGUUACGUAGCUGACCUGAGAGGAUGAUCGGCCACACUGGAACUGAGACACGGUCCAGACUCCUACGGGAGGCAGCAGUGGGGAAUCUUCGACAAAGGGCGAAAGCCUGACGGAGCAACGCCGCGUGGGUGAUGAAGGUCUUCGGAUCGUAAAACUCUUUUAUUGGGAAAGAAAAUACGUAUGAGAAUCUCUGCACGUCUUGACGGUACCUAAACAGAAAGCCCCGGCUAACUACGUG
rnacentral:rRNA from 1 species